rnacentral:rRNA from 1 species
AGUGAACGCUGGCGGUAGGCCUAACACAUGCAAGUCGAACGGCAGCACAGUAAGAGCUUGCUCUUACGGGUGGCGAGUGGCGGACGGGUGAGGAAUACAUCGGAAUCUACUUUUUCGUGGGGGAUAACGUAGGGAAACUUACGCUAAUACCGCAUACGACCUACGGGUGAAAGCAGGGGAUCUUCGCACCUUGCGUGAUUGAUUGAGCCGAUGUCGGAUUAGCUAGUUGGCGGGGUAAAGGCACACCAAGGCGACGAUCUGUAGCUGGUCUGAGAGGAUGAUCAGCCACACUGGAACUGAGACACGGUCCAGACUCCUACGGGAGGCAGCAGUGGGGAAUAUUGGACAAUGGGCGCAAGCCUGAUCCAGCCAUACCGCGUGGGUGAAGAAGGCCUUCGGGUUGUAAAGCCCUUUUGUUGGGAAAGAAAAGCAGCAGGUUAAUACCCCGCUGUUCUGACGGUACCCAAAGAAUAAGCACCGGCUAACUUCGUG